rnacentral:rRNA from 1 species
AUUGAACGCUGGCGGCAUGCCUUACACAUGCAAGUCGAACGGCAGCGGGGGAGAAGCUUGCUUUUCCUGCCGGCGAGUGGCGAACGGGUGAGUAAUACAUCGGAACGUGCCCUGUAGUGGGGGAUAACUAGUCGAAAGAUUAGCUAAUACCGCAUACGACCUGAGGGUGAAAGUGGGGGACCGCAAGGCCUCAUGCUAUAGGAGCGGCCGAUGUCUGAUUAGCUAGUUGGUGGGGUAAAGGCCCACCAAGGCGACGAUCAGUAGCUGGUCUGAGAGGACGAUCAGCCACACUGGGACUGAGACACGGCCCAGACUCCUACGGGAGGCAGCAGUGGGGAAUUUUGGACAAUGGGCGAAAGCCUGAUCCAGCAAUGUCGCGUGUGUGAAGAAGGCCUUCGGGUUGUAAAGCACUUUUGUCCGGAAAGAAAUGGCUCUGGUUAAUACCUGGGGUCGAUGACGGUACCGGAAGAAUAAGGACCGGCUAACUACGUGCCAGCAGCCGCGGUAA